UCAAGGAUAUCCAUACAUUAUUCAGCAAACAGGUAGUGAGAAUAAGGGAAAGGGAACCUCAGGACCCACUCCCCUCCCCCCUUGUAGCUACGUCCAUGGUAAGAGAUGAUGUUUCUCAGAAAUACAAACCUGCAGUAAAUGGUGUUUUUUUUUGUACUAGUCACCCCAAGUUCGCCCCCAGAAGCUGCUCAAAGUCACUACUGGGGAUGGGUCGUCUUUGGAGUUGCCGUAGCACUUGUUCUUCUAUCCAUCGUCAUUUUAAUUCUCGGAGUAAUUUCCAAGCGAGUGAUGAACAAUAGGAAAAGGCGAGAAAUUUCAGGAGUCCGUGAGCUGACUGAAUUAAGUACUACUCAUCCAGUGGCGGAACCCAAUCCCGUUGAAAUCGAGCCUUGAGUGGAGAAACAAUAACUUACUGUUAAUUUAUGAUUGUGAAACCGACGACAUUUCUUAUCCCGUCCCGAGAACCGCGAUCCUUCAUGCGAUGUUAUCGCUUGGUUCUUGAUCAUUAGAUCGAUAGAGUGGACGUGCUAAAUGUGACGGAGGUCUGGGAAGAGAUAGCAAGAGAUAGCCUGCAUUAUUCCUCCCCAUAUACCCGCCAUUUUUUGCUGACUGGUGUUAUCGGCAGUAACCACAAAGAGUCUAAGAGAGUCUUACAUUCUGAAUAAAACGUCACUUCCUUGACAUCUAAAUGGCUGUUUAUACAAGUAAGUUAGGAAAAUUCAGGAAAAACGACUUUCUGUUAAACCUGGAAAGUAACGAUUCUAUGGCCGACCGGUAACUUCACCUUGCGAUAUUUAAAAAUUGAGGAAACUAAGAAGUUAAAAGUCGUGCGUACAUACUUUUGCUUUGUUGCGUUUUGUACCACUUUUAGCCGUAUAGAGGAGAUUAUUUUUCAUUAAAAAAGAGUCGUCUUUAUAAUGUUCAUCCGCCCACUGUCUGUGCAAAUUAAAAGGAAAGAUAACAUUCUAGUGGCGUUUGCUCUGCUAGGCACGUUGAAUUUUUAUCGCCGCGUUAAAAAUAAAUGAUUUUUGUCUGCUGUAUUAAGUAGAUUUGAAACAAAAACGAUUGAGGUAACUUUCGAUUGAA